CCGCUUGUCAGAUGUUUUUACUGUGGCUUGGUUAUCUACCAAGCCACAGUAAAAACAUCUGACAAGCGG